rfam:Asian citrus Psyllid, Diaphorina citri - Florida Strain, whole genome shotgun sequence.
GCUCCCAUGGCGUAGUGGUCACUGCGCUCGCCUUGCACGUGGGAGACCCGGGUUCGAUUCCCGGCGGGGUCA